rnacentral:rRNA from 1 species
ACUACGGGAGGCAGCAGUGGGGGAUAUUGCACAAUGGGGGGAACCCUGAUGCAGCGACGCCGCGUGGGUGAAGAAGCGCCUCGGCGCGUAAAGCCCUGUCAGCAGGGAAGAAAAUGACGGUACCUGAAGAAGAAGCCACGGCUAACGGCGUGCCAGCAGCCGCGGUAAUACGUAGGGGGGAAGCGGUAUCCGGAUUUACUGGGUGAAAAGGGGGCGCAGACGGCGAUGCAAGCCAGGAGUGAAAGCCCGGGGCCCAACCCCGGGACUGCUCUUGGAACUGGGUGGCUGGAGUGCAGGAGGGGCGGGCGGAAUUCCUGGUGUAGCGGUGAAAUGCGUAGAUAUCAGGAGGAACACCGGUGGCGAAGGCGGCCUGCUGGACUGCAACUGACGUUGAGGCCCGAAAGCGUGGGGAGCAAACAGGAUUAGAUACCCCAGUAGUC